rnacentral:rRNA from 1 species
GACGAACGCUGGCGGCGUGCUUAACACAUGCAAGUCGAACGGAAAGGCCCUGCUUGCAGGGUACUCGAGUGGCGAACGGGUGAGUAACACGUGGGUGAUCUGCCCUGCACUUCGGGAUAAGCCUGGGAAACUGGGUCUAAUACCGGAUAGGAGCCAUUUUUAGUGUGAUGGUUGGAAAGUUUUUUCGGUGUAGGAUGAGCUCGCGGCCUAUCAGCUUGUUGGUGGUGUAAUGGCCUACCAAGGCGGCGACGGGUAGCCGGCCUGAGAGGGUGGACGGCCACAUUGGGACUGAGAUACGGCCCAGACUCCUACGGGAGGCAGCAGUGGGGAAUAUUGCACAAUGGGCGCAAGCCUGAUGCAGCGACGCCGCGUGGGGGAUGACGGCCUUCGGGUUGUAAACUCCUUUCGCUAGGGACGAAGCUUUUUGUGACGGUACCUAGAUAAGAAGCACCGGCUAACUACGUG